UACGUAGGGGGCAAGCGUUGUUCGGAAUUACUGGGCGUAAAGGGCGCGUAGGCGGCACGACAAGUCGGGAGUGAAAGCCCGGGGCUCAACCCCGGAAUGUCUCUCGAAACUGUCGAGCUAGAGUGCAGAAGAGGCAACUGGAAUUCCCAGUGUAGCGGUGAAAUGCGUAGAUAUUGGGAAGAACACCUGAGGCGAAAGGCGGGUUGCGUGGGCUGGACACUGAGCGCUGAGGCGCGAAAGCCAGGGGAGCGAACGGG
rnacentral:rRNA from 1 species